rnacentral:rRNA from 1 species
GAUGAACGCUGGCGGCGCGCCUAACACAUGCAAGUCGAACGAUUAAAGCACCUUCGGGUGUGUAUAAAGUGGCGAACGGCUGAGUAACACGUGGGCAACCUGCCCCUUUCAUUGGGAUAGCCACGGGAAACCGUGGAUAAUACCGAAUACUUCGAGACUUCCGCAUGGAAGACUCGAGAAAGCUCCGGCGGAGAGGGAUGGGCCCGCGGCCUGUUAGCUUGUUGGUGGGGUAACGGCCUACCAAGGCAAUGAUGGGUAGCUGGGUUGAGAGACCGACCAGCGAGAGUGGGACGGAGAAAGGCCCCAGACUCCUACGGGAGGCAGCAGGGGGGAAUCUUGCAAAGGGGGGGAGAGCCUGAUGCGGCGGCGCCGGGGGGGGGGUGAAGGCCUGCGGGUUAAAACCCGCUUUAAGCGGGGAGGAGGGGAAGGUGACGGUACGUGAAGAAGAAGCCCCGGCUAACUACGUG